UGAAUGGCCGCGGUAUUUUAACCGUGCAAAGGUAGCAUAAUCAUUAGUUUUUUAAUUAAAAGCUGGUAUGAAUGGUUGGAUGAAAAAGUGACUGUCUCUAUCUAAGUUUUUUAGAAUUUUAUUUUUAAGUAAAAAAGCUUAAAUUAUAUUAGAAGACGAGAAGACCCUAUAGAGUUUAAUUAAUUUUUGUUAUAAAGUUUUUAGUAUUUUUAAUUUUAUUAUAGUUGAUUAAUUUGAUUGGGGUGAUUUAAAAAUUUAAUAAACUUUUUUUGUAUUUAUACAUUAAUUUAUGAUUACUUGAUCCUUAAUUUAAGAUUAAUAGAUAAAAUUACCUUAGGGAUAACAGCGUUAUUUUUUUAGAGAGUUCUAAUCGAAAAAAAAGAUUGCGACCUCGAUGUUGGAUUAAAAAAAAAUUUUGGUGUAGAAGCUAAAAUAUUUAGGUCUGUUCGACCUUUAAAAUUUUACAUGAUCUGAGUUUAAACCGGCGUGAGCCAGGUUGGUUUCUAUCUCUAUUAUAAAUAAAUAUUUUAGUACGAAAGGACCGAGUAUUUAAUUAAUAGUUUUAACUUUGAAUAUAAUUAUUAUUUUGGCAGAUUAGUGCAAUGGAUUUAGAAUCCUUUUAUGUAAAUUAUUUACAAAUAAUACUUGAUAUUAAAAGAUUUAGUUUUAAUAAUUCUAUCAAGACUUAUUUUAGUAAUUUCUGUUUUAGUAGGUGUGGCUUUUUUAACGUUGUUA
rnacentral:rRNA from 1 species